CCCUUAGAGUUUGAUCCUGGCUCAGAACGAACGCUGGCGGCGUGCUUAAUACAUGCAAGUCGCACGAGAAAGUCCUUCGGGAUGAGUAGAGUGGCGCACGGGUGAGUAAUACAUAGGAACGCACCUUUAGGUGGGGAAUAACCACGGGAAACUGUGGCUAAUACCGCAUAAUCUCGCGAGAGUAAAGCUGGCCUCUAUUUAUAAGCUAGCGCCAAAAGAACGGCCUAUGUCCCAUUAGCUAGUUGGUAGGGUAAUGGCCUACCAAGGCGACGAUGGGUAGCUGGUCUGAGAGGAUGAUCAGCCACACUGGGACUGAGACACGGCCCAGACUCCUACGGGAGGCAGCAGUAGGGAAUUUUGCACAAUGGGCGCAAGCCUGAUGCAGCAACGCCGCGUGAGUGAAGAAGGCCUUUGGGUUGUAAAGCUCUUUCGGCUGGGAAGAUGGGUUCGUUGGCGAAUAGCCCUCGGAUUUGACGGUACCAGAAGAAGAAGCACCUGCUAACUACGUGCCAGCAGCAGCGGUAAUACGUAGGGUGCAAGUGUUGUUCGGAAUUAUUGGGCGUAAAGCGCGCGUAGGCGGGUUUGUAAGUCGAUUGUGAAAGCCCUGGGCUUAACCUGGGAAUGGCAGUCGAAACUGCAAAUCUUGAAUGUCUGAGAGGAUGGCGGAAUUCCCGGUGUAGUAGUGAAAUACGUAGAUAUCGGGAGGAACACCUGAGC
rnacentral:rRNA from 1 species